AUUAGUUGAUCCUAGGUGAGAAAACCUGUUUAGUUUAAGCAUAUAACUAAGCAGAGGAAAAUAAACUUAUAAGGAUUCCCCUAGUAGCGGAGAGCGAAAUGGGAAGAGCCCAUCAUCAAAAUCGAGUCGCAAUGACACUUGAAUUGUAGUCUGUAGAAGUGUACUAAGUAGCGGACUUGGGACAAGUCCCUUGGAAGGGGGAAACUAAUAGGGUGACAGCCCCGUCGGGUCGAGAUCCUCCUGCAUCAAAAGGAAUUGUCAAUGAGUCGGGUUAUUGGGCGGUAAAUUCUAUCCAAGGCUAAAUAUGGGCGAGCGACCGAUAGCGAAUAAGUAUCGUGGGGGAAAGAUAAAAAGGACUUUUGAAAAAGAGUUAAUGAUUUCUUGAAAUUUUUGGGAGGGAAGAAGAUGAAGGUUGUUGAUGUGCCUUAGUCGGAUGUGGAGUGUCUUAGGUUGGUCUACUGCUCGACUUGAGGUGAAAACAAUCACAUACUAUUGCAUCAUCACAAGUUUUGGUGGAGCACUACCUAUCCAUUUUGUGUUGCAGUGGUCGAGGAACAAAGCAUGCUUCAUUGUGGUGGACCGUGUGAACGUACACCCUCAUGGUGUAGGUUGGCGGGCUUUCCAUUCUACCCAUACUGAAACACAAACCAAGGAUUCUAACAUGUGUGCAAGUUAGCGGGUUUGAAAACUUGCGAGGCAUAAGGAAUUUGAUGGGUGCAAUCCCCUCUCUAGGGGGGUGCAUCAUUGAUCGGUCUUUAGUUUAUGCAAAGGGUUCGAGUGCGAGCACAACUAUUGGGACCUAAAAGAUAGUGAACUAUGACUAAGCAAGGUGAAGCCAAAGGAAACACUGGUGGAGGCCGAUAGUUAUAUUGACGUGAAAAUCAUUUGUUUAACUUGGGUAUAGGGGUGAAAGAAUAAUUGAUAUAUCUAGUAGUUGGUUUCCUCUAAAGUUUCCCUUAAUAUAGUUAGAUCUCAGAUGUGAGUUUUAUCGGGUAAAUAAAAUGAUUAGAGGCAUCGAGGGCAUAAUUCCCUCGACCUAUUCUCAAACAUUAAAUAGGUAAGAGGGUACAGUUUCUCCCUUGAGUUGUGCCAUGGAAUCAAGAGCUCCAAGUGGGCCAUUCUUGGUAAGUAUAACUAGCGAUGUGGUAUGAACCAAAAGUUGAGUUACAGUGUGAAAUUUCAUGCUAACCUAGAUCGCAUAAAGGGUGUUGGUUGAUUAAGACAAUAAGACUGUGGUCAUGGAAGUCAAAAUCCACUAAGGAGUGUGUAACAACUUACCUGCCAAAUGAACUAGCCCCAAAAAUGGAUGGCACUGAAGCACGCAACCUAUACGUGACCGCCAGAGAAAUUGAUUAGAUUUGAUGAGUAGGAGGAUGAUAGAGUCAUUGAGAAACCUCAGGCAUGAGCUUGGGUGGAUUAGCCCCCUAUGUAGAUCAUGGUGGUACUAUAAAAUAUUCAAAUGAGAACUUUGAAGACUGAAGUGGGGAAGUUUCCAUGUGAACAACACUUGGAAAUGGGUUAGACAAUCCUAAGAGAUGGGGAAGCCUUAUAUCAAGUGUGUACUCUGCACGAGAAUUGAAAGGGAAUUGGGGCAAUAUUCCUGAACCGAGACAUGGUGGUGAGUGACAACAUUAGGAAAUCUGAAAAUAUUGUCGAGGGCCCCGGGAAGAGUUCUCUUUUAUUUUUAACAACUUGCACACCUUGGAAUCAAUUCACCCAGAGAUAGGUUCCAAUAGUUAGAAGAGAACCACAUGCCUUAGGGUGUCCGGUGAGCCCUCAAUGACCCUUAAAAAUCUAGAGGACCGAGUAUCGUUCAUGCCCGAUCAUACUCAUAACUGCAUCAGGUCUCCAAGGUGAGCAAGCUUUGCUCAAUAAUGAAAUGUAGGUAAGGGAAGUUGGGAAAAUGGAUCCGUAACUUCGAGAAAAGGAUUGGCCCUGAGGGCUAUGCCUAGGGGUAUACACCCUCAACUCAUGAUCUAUUGGUAGUUUUCCUGAGCUUCUCUUGUGACGAGGGAAGGUAGUUGUGUGCUGAUUCGGCUAUGGGCAUAUAAUGCCCCCUAUUUGUGGCUUUUCCCUAGGUGAUGAAAAAUCAACUCAUAAAUGGUACGGACAAGGGGAAUCUGGCUAUUUAAUUAAAAUAAAUCAUUGUUAGGUUCCCUAUGGAUGCUGAUACAAUGUGAUUUCUACCAAGUGCUCUGAAUUUCAAAGUGAAGAAAUUCUAGCAAGCGUGGGAAAACGAUGAGAGUAACUAUGACUCUCUUGAGGUAGCCAAAUGCCUUGUCAUCUAAUUAGUGAUGCACAUGAAUGGCUUAACAAGAUUCCCACCAUCCCUAUCUACUAUCUAGAAAAACCACAACCAAGGUAAUAAGCUCGAUACAAUUAGCAGGGAAAGAAGAUCUUGUUGAGAUUGACUCUACUCCAACUUUGUGAAAUAACUUGAGAGGUGUAGAAUAAAUGGGAGUCGUUUUUGGUGCAAGUGAAAUACCACUACUUUUAACAUUAUUUUACUUAUUUUGUGGGGUAGAUAUGGGGCACUGCCCCUAUUUGUGGCCUUAAGGCACAUUUUGGAAAAUCGAUCCAGGCAGAAGACAUUGUCAAGUAGGGAGUUUGGUUGGGGUGGCACAUCUGUUAAAAGAUAAUGUAGGUGUCCUAAGAUGAGCUCAACGAGAACAAAAAACUCAUGUGGAACAAAAGGGUAAAAGCUCAUUUGAUUUUGAUUUUCAGUACGAAUAAAAAAUAUGAAAGUGUGUCCUAUCGAUCCUUUAUAUUUUCAAAAUUUGAAGAUAGAGGUGUCAAAAAAGUUACCACAGGGAUAACUAGCUUGUGGCAGCCAAGUGUUCACAGGGACAUUGCUUUUUUAUCCUUCAAUGACAACUCUUACUAUCAUUUUGAAGAAUAAUUCACCAAGUGUUCAAUUGUUCACCCACCAAUAGCCAAUGUGAGUUGGGUUUAGACCAUCGUGAGAUAGGUUAGUUUUACCCCACUGAUGAACCGCAUCGCAAUAGUAAUUCAGCUUAGUAUGAGAGGAAUCAUUGAUUCACACAAUUGGUAAUCAUGCUUGGUUGAAAAUCUAGUGGCACAAAGCUACCAUAUGUUCUAUUAGGAAUGAACACGUCUAAGCCAGAAUCCAUGCUAUAAGUUGUGCAUGCCACUUUUCAAUUGUAUCUCAACCCAUAGUAGGGGGUUGCUUUGU
rnacentral:rRNA from 1 species